rnacentral:lncRNA from 1 species
CGGAGCACAGACUUUGGAUACUAGUUGAUGGAUGUCUGACCCAGCACACUCACGUCCUUGCCAUGUGACCCUGGACAGCCCAGAAAUGCAACCCACUAAGUCUGACAGGGGACAGAAAGACCAGAGGAAAAAUGUUUGCACUUGAAGAAAAGCAGAAUCAUCUCUGUAAUAUAGACUCUGAUUUCCAAGGAAAGAAAAAGAAUCAUCCUGAGUCAGUAAGGAUCAAUUCAUUCGCCAUGACCCGCCUGCUGAUGGGGCGCCUUCCCUUUCAUCCUCGGGAUUAUGACAAGUUAUUAAUUGCCACCAUUAGCCGCAGCAGCCUGCCCGAGAUCUCUGCUGCUCUCUGGAGACCCACAAAUCCUCCCCAAGCGCUCUUUACCAGCCUUGCAGAUAAUGUACUUACACAUCUCAGAGCCUGCUAA